GACGAACGCUGGCGGCGUGCUUAACACAUGCAAGUCGAACGGAAAGGCCCUGCUUUUGUGGGGUGCUCGAGUGGCGAACGGGUGAGUAACACGCGAGUAACCUGCCCUUGACUUUGGGGUAACUCCAGGAAACUGGGGCUAAUACCGGAUAGGAGCUCCUGCUGCAUGGGGGGGGUUGGAAAGUGUCGGCGGUUGGGGAUGGACUCGCGGCUUAUCAGCUUGUUGGUGGGGUAGUGGCUUACCAAGGCUUUGACGGGUAGCCGGCCUGGGAGGGUGACCGGCCACAUUGGGACUGAGAGACGGCCCAGAAUCCUACGGGAGGCAGCAGUGGGGAAUAUUGCACAAUGGGCGGAAGCCUGAUGCAGCAACGCCGCGUGCGGGAUGACGGCCUUCGGGUUGUAAACCGCUUUCGCCUGUGACGAAGCGUGAGUGACGGUAAUGGGUAAAGAAGCACCGGCUAACUACGUG
rnacentral:rRNA from 1 species